GAUGAACGCUGGCGGCGUGCCUAAUACAUGCAAGUCGAGCGAACGGACGAGAUGCUUGCUUCUCUGAUGUUAUCGGCGGACGGGUGAUUCCCACGUGGUUAACCUACCUAUACGACUGGGAUAACUUCGCGAAACCGUGUCUACUACCGGAUAAUAUUUUGACCCUCAUGGUUCACAAGUUAAAGACGGUCUUUCUGUCACUUAUAGCUUGAUCCGCCCUCCAUUAGCUAGUUGGUAAGGUAACUGCUUACCAAGGCUACGAUGCAUAGCCGACCUGAGCGGGUGGUCGGACAGACUGGAACUGAGGCAGAGUACAGACACCGAAGGGAAGACACAGUAGGGAAUCUUACGGGAGGGAGGAAAGGCUGACAGAGCAACACGGCGUGAAGGAUGAUGGACUACGGAUGGGAGAGCGAUGAAAGUAGGGAAGUAGAAAUGUGUAAGUAACUGGGAAGAUAAUGACGGUACCGGAACAAAAAGCCACGGCUAACUACGUG
rnacentral:rRNA from 1 species